UCAAAUAGCUUAGUUGGUCAGAGCGUGGUGCUGAUAACGCCAAGGUUGCAGGUUCGAUCCUCGUACAGGACAA